rnacentral:rRNA from 1 species
GACGAACGCUGGCGGCGUGCUUAACACAUGCAAGUCGAACGGAAAGGCCCUGCUUUUGUGGGUUGCUCGAGUGGCGAACGGGUGAGUAACACGUGAGUAACCUUCCCUUGACUUUGGGAUAACUUCAGGAAACUGGGGCUAAUACCGGAUAGGAGCUCCUGCUGCAUGGUGGGGGUUGGAAAGUUUCGGCGGUUGGGGAUGGACUCGCGGCUUAUCAGCUUGUUGGUGGGGGAGUGGCUUACCAAGGCUUUGACGGGUAGCCGGCCUGAGAGGGUGACCGGCCACAUUGGGACUGAGAUACGGCCCAGACUCCUACGGGAGGCAGCAGUGGGGAAUAUUGCACAAUGGGCGGAAGCCUGAUGCAGCAACGCCGCGUGCGGGAUGACGGCCUUCGGGUUGUAAACCGCUUUCGCAUGUGACGAAGCGUGAGUGACGGUAAUGGGUAAAGAAGCACCGGCUAACUACGUG